AACCCACAAACCUCUGAUGAUCAAGUAAAAUCUGACCAUCAGAUUCCUGCAUCUGGUCAAUCUUCCUUUUCAUGUUUGUAGCAUAGUUAUGUGCGAGCUUGUGCAACUGUUUAUUCUCAUGCUUGAGCCCUCUAAUCUCCUGUUUGAGACUCAUCACUUCAGCCGCCAACGAUUCAACUUGACGGGUUCGAGCAAAUAGGCGUUAGGCCAUAUUGGACACAGAACCUGCACACUGCACAUUGAGAGUCAGAGAAUCCUUAACAGCUAACUCAUUAGAUCGUUU
rnacentral:lncRNA from 1 species